CCUGGGAAAAGCAUGGGAACUUGGUUUAAAUGAGAAAUCGUAAGUUCAUGUCGUGGAUUUCUUACAAUAUUAAAUACAGUUUCCAAUUUCUUUUUUAUUUUUCUUCUGCCCUCUUGACUUCAAUACCUCUGUCACUGGUUACUAUCUUUAAACCAGAAGCUGCUGUGAAUGGAAAUGAUAUCUACACAGUACUUGUUGGAGCACCUCAUUCUUGACAGGCAGCCCUUGGCACUGCCUCAACAAUGCCACAGCACCAGAUGAGAUUUGUAAGCCUGAUUUUAUGUAAUGCUUUCAUUUAUUAGAAAUUAUUAGACUGGUUCGUCUGGGUGAGAGGAAUGAGUGAGAGAACCAUCCUUCUGGGACCAUGGGAUAGUGCAGCUGAAAUCUUUUGCUGUUCCUGCCACCCUCAGUCCCAUUUCCUGAUCACAUAAAUAUCAGACUUCAGAGGUGUUCACCUGAUGCUGGGGAUAGAUUUCUUUUAAUGGUAGUAGUCUGUGAAUGGCUGAAUUAAGAAUGGAAUUUAUAUUAUAAUGGUUCUAUGUAUUUUCAGAAUGUGUUUCCUUCCACCUAGGCAGAUGUAGGAAAGCCUGGGGGCAGAUACAGGAUUUUAACUGUAAUAAAGAGACAAAAGUCAAAGGAAAUUUUCCUGAGUGGUGCUCUCAGUGCUCUGGAACUCUUCAUCUUUCCUGACAAUUCCUCCUUUAGAAUCUACAUUCUACAGGCAGGUUAUUACCUGAUUGCAAAGUCUGAGAAGUCACUUGGCAGGAUCAAGAAUCAACAUGCUCCCAAGCAGACUGUCUGAUCUAAUCUGGCUAACAGCUAUUAGCAUAAUUAUACACCAGGCAUAGUCCACAUCUAAACCAAGCACUCAGCACAAAGACAUAUGGAAUACCUUCCUCAUGUGUCAUGUUUGAAUUCAGCUCUCUCUGUCCUUAAAAAUCUAUUGCUCAUGACUCUGCAGUAUUUUCCCUUAUCCAUCUUAUCUCCAGUAUUGCUUGUUUUCAAACGUCAGAAUUACUAGAUUGUGGCUACUGGCAUAAACUGAUAGUAAUUUUACACCUGGUAAUUGAAUGCUGUUUUCUUAAGUUCAGUGACAGACAGGCAAUACCUUUUUCAAUUGAAUCAACACAGCUGGAUUUAGAUGCUGCAGGAGCCUGAUGGAGACAACAAAAAUUCUGGUGCAGGAGACCUGACAAGUUCAAGACCUGGUUCUGAUCUGGAUGCCAGUUGUUUUGCAGAGUACAAGAGACAAAGAAUUGUCCAGGCACUGUGUGAUGGUGCUGAAAGGUAAAGGGUAAUAUCAUUAAGGAGAAGAACCUUACUGGAUAAUUUUAGCUAUAGAGUCAAUUUUUUUUCACAGAAGGACUAAAAAGAUAUAGCUUUGUCAUCAUGUGUUUUAUCCACCUAAGUGUCCUUGUUUAAAAAAGUAUCACUGGGUAAUGGAAUAAGCGAAUCAAUUCUAAAGAAUUCAGUUGCAGCACCCUGAGCUGCAUGGAAACAUUGCACAGAUUUAAUGAUUUCUGUCAUAUCAUAACAGCAGCAUUUGUUUCCUCAGAGUUAAACACGAGAAUCCCCUGCAUUUUGUUCCCGUUUAUCAUGGCUUUAAACCUUCACCUUCAGAAAGGAGUCAAAUGGUGGGAAGCAAAGGAAAGAAAAAUAUCUUUUAGUAUCUUGCAGUUUGUACGUGUCGUGUGCUGUUGCACUCCUCGGAGCUGGCCAGCUCCAAUCACUGUAGAAAAUCUGUUGAUUUUUUCUACACAAGCACAGAAAAGCAACUUUUUAUGUCAGAGUGAUGAGCCACUAGAGGCACAUGACAGUCAGAACUUCAUAGUGGACCUGUUUGUGAACAAGAAAUGUACCUUUUUCUUGGUGGGGGGGUUAUAAGUUGGCACUUACUGGAGUAAGUGCCAUUGGAAUAGCAGCUUCCUGAAACAGGUGUGAUGGCGGGAUAAUCCUUGGAGGGAUGUCAGUGAGCUGGAAAAUGUGUUUGGAAGGGCUGUGAGCAGCACCUCACGUUUCAGCUGACAAGGUAACUUGCCCACCUUCAUGCUGUGGGGGCAGCCCCCAUAUCUUUAGGUAUAGUGUGGGAGUUGAAUCAACUCUUCAUGUGGUUUGAGCAGAAAGAAAUGCUUUGAACGUGGAAGGAGAACCAGACCCUUAGUCUGAUGGAUGAAUGGCAGUGUUCAGCAACGGAACGGGCAGGUGCAUAGGAUGGUAUCUCUGAAGAAACUGUUGCAUUCUCCUUUUAAAACUCCAUAAAGUGUUCAUGUUCCCACGCUUGUCCUCGCAUCCCCCUGUAGAGCUGAGAUGUGAUUAAUUCCUCAAUUUUCUUUUUCAGUUUCACUCUCUGCAUUUUUUUUUCAAACAGACGAGAAACUGUUGUCUUCAUUGUUUGCAUGAGCCACGUCACUGAAGAUUUAGUGUGCAGUCAGAGCAUGCUCAUUGGCAACAUCCUUUAGCACACGACAUCAUCAUUCUUUGAAUUACUACAUCCUUUUGCUAUAGGGAAAGAGUCUAUUUUGAAAUAUUUGCAGUGUCAGAGUUCACAGUGGAAGAGCAAAUGCUUAGUCCUUAGCAGGACCUAUUUUAAUAGAAAUAGUGAAUCUGCCAUGUCACCCAAACCUGGAGCUGUUCUGCUUACCUGCUCUCGUGUCACUGGUGCCAUCAGGAUACUGGAAACACUGGGAACCCAAGGGAAGUGCAGUGAUGGGGAGCAAUAAUGGUGGUUACAGACAGCAUAGAGGUAACAGACUGUUCAGAACCAGGAGAGCUUGUGAUUUAGGUACUUAAAUAAUCAAACAUUUUUAUUGGAAAGAAACCCAACAGAAUGUAGUCAAAAUGGAGACUGUAAUUUCUAUGACAGCAAGAGGACCUUCAUUUCCCUGGGGAGAAGAAAGGGAGGAGUUGAGUGAUGGAAAGAAAACAGGCUUCAGUUCUGAAGUACCUUGGAUUGCCCAUAUCAAAAAUAAAAACACAAAUCCCAGUAGGAAGGUGCAGGAUUUAGCACUUUGGGCUGCCAGCCUGACACAUUUCCACUGGAGAGAGCUGGGGAAAUGGCCUAAAUGCUUUGAUAUAUUUAACCUGCUGAAAAACAUACAAUUAGAAUUCAUGGUAUUUGUUUCUGAAUAUCACACACAGAAAAUAAUAAGAAAAAAAUGAACAGGGAACAGCUUUCCAUGGAUGAGACUUCCAUAUUUAUUGUUAUUCCAUGUGCAUAGAAAAUGGCAGUGAAGUUCCUUAUGAAAUAGGCAGGGAAUGGGAGAGGUGUGGAUGUACUGGACCGGACUUUGUGCUUCAAAAUGACACUAUUCAUUUUUUAAAGUUUGGGCUUUUUUUCUCUUGGAUUUCUUUUUGUGCACUGUUUCAGAUUCCUUUUCCAAUGACACACUGCAUUACAAAUGGAUGGCACUUGAGACCGAGGUGGCGUUUCCAUAUUUACACGCACGCGGAAUGUACACGACGCGGCAGCAUACAAUCCUGACAUUUAGUAAUAGCGAGGACACAGGGGCAGCCGGCGGAGCUUUUCUGUACAAACUAUCAGACCAAGACUUUUAUUCACAUAAAAAAAAAUCAGCUUUAAUUUGCUCUGACCUACACACUUUCCAAAUUCAUUGUACUCAAUUCUCAAACCUUUCAUCACAUCGCCCACACCCUCACCAGACUACAGGAGCUACAAGUAAUGAUACCUAACACCUAAACAGAGCAAAACCGUCCCUGCCAGUUUUCCUCCUGACAAUUCCUCUCUCAAAAAAACCCCAAAACAAAUCUUCCUUGUUCCUUCUUGUCUUUCACUUUCGCAUUUCAUAACCAAAGCCACUCAGGGCUGUUCCAGUCCUUCUCGAGCCAGACGAGAACCACGCUGGGUUGUUCUCUCUGGUGCUACACCCAGGAGUCAGGGGAGCCCGGGUACUGUUCUGCUCGGUAAGAAGAUCGUCUGGUGGAAUAAAAGUCUACAUAAUUGGUGGUUGAUUUCAGUCCAUACUGUGUUGUGUAAUCUGAAGCAGCAGGAAAGUGAACUCGGUCGUCGAAGUAGGGGUCCUCGUAGCUGUGUGGGGACUGCAGGUACAACCGGUAGGCAUCGUAGUUUUUCCUGGUGGUAUCUUCUUGGCUGUAGUAUAAUUGCUGAUGCUGCUGGCAAAAUGAUAGAAAAAUAAGCUUUCAAGGUAUAAUCAACAGAGAAAAUACUUGUUUCUCAAACUCACACACAUUGUAAAGAACCUUUCCCAAGUGCAGCUCUACCAGUGACAGUAACACAGGUCUCAAACCUCCAUGAAAUGUGCCCAAGGAAGUGGUACAUUUCCCUGAGCCUGCUGCAUGUCUCCUCCCACACCCCUGGGAAGGGAGCACAACUUCAGAGCGCAGGUGUAGGAGGUACAGAACCUGACCAUACCUGCGAACCCCCCAAGCCCAAAUCAAAUCAGAGCAGAGGUCUCGGACCCCGCCGUGAGAACUCGUAAGGGAGCAGGCGCAGCGGCCCCGGGGCUGGGACAGGGCAGUGCCCAGAGCCACAGCCCCUGCUGAGCCUGGGCAGCUCCAGCUCACCUGCAGCCGUCGGUUCUGUUCUCUCGCUGGUGAGGAAUAGGAACUGAUGUAAAUUGGGGAAGCUUUGCUGGAACCUGGCAGAAAACAGUUUAGGGAUAAACUUCAGUCUUUAUUCUUCCACCUCUUAAGUCUAUUGGCUUCUGUUUUGCCUAUUAUGUAGCACUCAAACAAUUAAAUCUGCAGAUUUUAGCAUCUACUAAUGUAGAUAUAUAUAUAAUGUAAUAACAGAAUAAAGGCAAAUGUUGUCCCUCAGCAGCAGUUACAGUGAAGCCAAGAGGCUUUUUUAUCUUGCUGGUUUUUGUUUUACAGAUUCAUAAUGUUUAAAACAAGGCAUUUCCUUCUCCUUAGAGACAAUCAUCUACUGGUGUGCAACUUGUGUCACACAGUGAGAAGGAAAAGAGAUAUCAGAGAAAAGAUUCUGAUCUUUUGGUAUAAUUUAGUAAUAUAAUGUUAUAAUAUACAACUGCACGUUAUAAUUUAUAACAUCAUCAUAUAAUGUGAAUAAAACAAUUUUCUGUAAUAGUACUUGAAAUAAAAAUAAGAAUUCCAA